GAUGAACGCUGGCGGCGUGCCUAAUACAUGCAAGUCGAGCGAACGGACGAGAAGCUUGCUUUUCUGAUGUUAGCGGCGGACGGGUGAGUAACACGUGGAUAACCUACCUAUAAGACUGGGAUAACUUCGGGAAACCGGAGCUAAUAACGGAUAAUAUUUUGAACCGCAUGGUUCAAAAGUGAAAGACGGUCUUGCUGUCACUUAUAGAUGGAUCCGCGCUGCAUUAGCUAGUUGGUAAGGUAACGGCUUACCAAGGCAACGAUGCAUAGCCGACCUGAGAGGGUGAUCGGCCACACGGGAACUGAGACACGGUCCAGACUCCUACGGGAGGCAGCAGUAGGGAAUCUUCCGCGAUGGGCGAAAGCCUGACGGAGCAACGCCGCGUGAGUGAUGAAGGUCUUCGGAUCGGAAAACUCUGUUAUUAGGGAAGAACAUAUGUGUAAGUAACUGUGCACAUCUUGACGGUACCUAAUCAGAAAGCCACGGCUAACUACGUG
rnacentral:rRNA from 1 species